rnacentral:lncRNA from 1 species
CAAAAGAGCCUCAGUUCAUCUCCGGGCUCAGCGUCCUGGCACACCGCAGGAGAUAGAAAAGAGCCCCACAGGGGCAGGAGGGGGUGUGACAGAUAAUUAAGCCGGAAGGCAAGGCACAGGAAGCUUAAUUAGCAGCAUCCCCUCAUCUUGGCCUUGCCAGUCCUAGGGGUGGUUCUUGAGGCAGGAGUUUGAUUUGGAUGAGACUGAGCUGAGUGGUGCUGGAGGGAGGAGACAAGCGAGCAGCCCUAGCAGCUGCAAGGGGGAGAAUCCAGCGCUGCUCGGCUCAGAGGCCUCCCCUUGACGCCCUCCUGGGGGUCCCGCACAGCCCCCUGCUUUUAGGGGUGCAGCUUGAGGACUUGUCAGCCCCUAACUUCCAGGAGUCACCAGCCCCUGGGCCUCACGGCCCUGCAUCUCAGCCACAGACUUGGAGACUCCCUGAUGUCCACGGCAGAGCUGGCUGGGGACGAUGGAGUGAAGAAGCCAGGCUUUGGCUCUGGGGGAGGCCUGAGGUUCAGCCACACAGAGCACCGUCCUGUGCACCUGCUGCUUCCUGGGAUGCCGGCACCGCGGGUCUCUCCACUGAGGCAAAGCGCUGGGGACAGCAGGGAGCCCCACGGGUCUGCUCUCCAAGGACCCUCCAGAGGUCCUCCUCUGUCGCUGUCCACUACCCUCCCCGGGGCGCACUCAGAGGUCGACGUGGAGGUGGAACCCGGCUGGACCCUGAGAGGCAGGGGCACCUGGGCCUUCCCUCCCCAGGCAGGCGGCAGGGCCUGGGCUGUCACUGGAUGCUCCGGGUGGGCCAGCGGGGAGGUGGCCGACCAUCGGGCAGCGGAUCUUUCACACCAUCUCUCUGGACCUGCAAACAUUCUCGAUAACGCCAGCAGGGGGCGGGG